rnacentral:rRNA from 1 species
UACGAAGGGGGCUAGCGUUGUUCAGAAUUACUGGGCGUAAAGGGCGCGUAGGCGGCGUGUCAAGUCAGGCGUGAAAGCCCCGGGCUCAACCUGGGAACCGCGCUUGAGACUGGCAUGCUCGAGUUCGGGAGAGGAUGGUGGAAUUCCCAGUGUAGAGGUGAAAUUCGUAGAUAUUGGGAAGAACACCGAUGGCGAAGGCAGCCAUCUGGACCGACACUGACGCUGAGGCGCGAAAGCGUGGGGAGCAAACAGG